AAAAAAAAAAAAUGUGCAAUAAUUUGCAAAACGUGAAGAUGAGGUUCGUCUGAUGUAAUGUGUUUAAUAGUAAAUAGUUUCUUUAUAAGAGUCAAAUUACCAUCGUCAAAAUACAAAGUAAAUUAUAAUUUUCUAUUGUUGCCAAUAACAUCAAAGGCUAAAGAAUUGCUAAACCUAUAGUAAUUUAAUGAAGAAUAAUCUCAAUCCUUCUUUCAUAUAAUACCGAAUAUUGUAUCACAACGACCUUUUUAUUGAAUUUUUUAAAGUUUGACAAGAAAUUGAAUAAAUUAUAUUCGUUUGAAGAAGAUGAUAAUGAGCUAUCCAUUACAUAAAUUACGUGGUGCAAUAAUGCAACAACAAAUAUAGAAGUAGAGAUUAUAUGGUGAAAAGCUUUUUUCGAAGAAUAAUGUUAUCUCGUAUAGCUGGUGUUAUAACACCAAUUUAGAAGAUGUUAUGUGAUAGGAAAUAUGAAAUUAACCAACUCAUUUGAUUGUAUUUCUCAUUUAAUGUCACUGCAGUUCCACCUAAAUUAUUAUUUUAACACUAAUGAUGCUAAAUAACAUUAUUCUUUUUUUGAAUGGUAUAAUAUCAAACAAAUUAUGAAAUAAAAAGAAAAAAAUUAAAAUUUAAGAAGAGUGAUGAGAGCAUAUGCUAAUCAUAAUGAAAGAUUUAGAGAAUGAAUGCAAAACUUGUGUGAAAAUUAAAGGCAAUGUCAUUUCUUUUCUUAUGGAUAAAUAAAAAUGAAGCAAGGUGCAGGGAUGGGCGAGCCUACUAGCUCUCAAGCUCGCGCGCGAGCCAACUCGUGCUUGCCUCGAGCAUGAGCAUAGCCACUUCAACUCCUUUGUAGGGUGAGGGCAGCUCUUUCCAUGCCUUGUUGAGGGAUUUUAGGGAGGCAGAGGGUUUAGAAGGAUGGAUUUAACGAUUUCUAUUUCUCGCAAUAAUUUGCUUAUAUUUAUAUUAUGUUUAAAAUACAAUUUAAAUUCAUAAAAAAAUAACAUAAAGAAUAAGAGUCGAGACAAAAGUCAUGUUCUCCAUUCUCACCUUGAUUCCCAAUGGGGUGGGAAUGGAAAGGUGGUUUUGCCAUCACUAGACGAGAAUUAUUGUAACCUAUGGUGUUAAAAUGCUUAAAGCAAUAAUAUCUUAUACAAUUUUUUCUCUUUCAUAAUGACUUAAUAGUAUGAGAAUUUUCUUAACACAAUAUGCUAUGGAAGGACAAAAAAGGUUAAAAAGGGGAGACCAAUUGAAAAAAUAAAUCAAUGCUUGAAAGAUUCAUAUUUUAUCCAAUUUCUUCAUUUAUAAAGUGUAACCAGUGUAUAUAACUUGACAAGUUAAUAAUACAGGUAUCGAUUAGAAAACCAAAUUCAUAUAAGACGAGGUUUCAAGGUUAUGCCCUGCGAGGUCAAUCAUCAUACAUUGACAACUAGAAAAAGCGAACUUGUUUCAUUAGAGAGUCAUGCUUAAGAAAUUAAAAGUCAAGCUAAGCACAAAAUGAAGCACCUUAAGUUUCCUAGCCACCAAAGAUAAGGUUGAGUAAAUAGAAUGACAUUUGGGGAAGGAGUAAAAGUCAUGUGGGAACCUGGGAACCAACAAGGGCACAUCCUGCGAUUUACCUCCCUGAACAGCUGAGGGGCCGGAGGUUCAGGGACGAGGAUAUAGUCUAGCGCAAGUUGGACACCUCGUUAAAAAA
rnacentral:lncRNA from 1 species